CCCUUGACUCCAGUUUCUCCGACAUCGACAGAAUUCUACACCAACAGAAUUGGUGCUAGAGGAAGGACAUGUGUCUUCACAGGACCCUUGUUCUUAAAGGAGUACUCAACGGGACUGUCUCCAGUCAUCUUCUUCGACAUCUUCUUCUUCUUCUCCGGCCAGAUCCCAACCUGAUGCCUCCCCGAAAGGCAUCCACCAGGCAAUCUACGGCCUCCAUGGCCAGAUCUCAGCA
rnacentral:lncRNA from 1 species